AUCAAAGAAAAAAAACGCAAAUCUAUCUCUUAUCUCUCUUUACAGUAAACAUCUCUCUCUUUGUUCUCAUUCUUCUCACUUCUCAUUCUUCAUCUCUUGCAUAGCCAGAUUUGUUAUGGAGAAAGAAAACAUGGCUGCGGGAGACGGUAGAAAAAAGAUCCAUGUACGAAGCGGUUACGUUUUCAAAUUUUCAAAUCAAAGCUUUGUUCUACAUGAGAGAAAGAAGAAGAAGAACUACAUGGAUUAACGGGAAAAUGGAAGGGAAAACAACCAACAUCACUCUCUGGUAGCAUCAUCAACGCUAAAAUUUCAUUUUUUUUAGUUUACAUGUCUGGAUUAUUUUAUUGUACUGAAUUAAGGUUGAACGGAGCAACUAGGGUUGAUGAUGUUAAUCAACAUGACAUUCCUUACCCAAUGCCUAAGUUUAAAGACUUUAUUGAGAUAUCAAUCGGAAAAUGACGUGAAGAUCUACUUUAUGGAAAAUGACGUGAAGAUCUCCUGCAAUUAGAUACAAUGAUGUUUGUUAGGCUCUUAAUAUCUUAUAUACACAUGUUUCUCAUUUCAGGAAGGUGAAUUUGAUCCGCGCAAAUACCCAGCUUAAUUACCUUGACGACAUGCGUGGAAGAGAAUUAGCGUUGAAAGUUAAGAUUCAAUCAAAAGCUAAGAUGGCUAAUUUGUUGAAUUAUAGGGAUGAUCCAGAAAUAAUUCAACAUAUCAAAGACCAGAUCAAUAAUGAUGAGAUUAUUGUUUUUUAUAUGCAAUCUACUCAUCUAAUUUCAUAUUUUUACAACUAAAAAUUUAAACUUUGAUCACUUUUUAGAUUGAGAAUUUCAUCUCCACUAUGCUUGAUGCCUCCAAUUACUAGACAGUGUUCAAAGAUGAUUGAUGAUUCUGCUGCUGGAACAAGUACUGCAGAGAGGUAACAUAGCGGAUGUUAAGAUGUCAGAGUCUUUGGCUACAAAGUUUAUGGAAUUUUGCAAGGAUAGGACUGACUCUUGCCCCAUCAUUGUCAUCGUCAAGAAUGGACGCUUGACACAAGCAGUUGGUAAGUGUCUAACGGCAUAAAAAAAAAGUAUCAUAGUCGUUUCUCUGCAUUGUAAUAUUUUUUCACCACUUUUUAUUUGGAUAUUUAGAUAAUUAUCCUGUACAAGUAUCAAAUGCAUGGAAUGGUACAAGACUUCUUAUCAAUGAAGACAUAUUUAGAUAAUUAUCCUGUACAAGUAUCAAAUGCAUGGAAUGGUACAAGACUUCUUAUCAAUGAAGACAUAUACUAGAAAUCAAUGACUUUAAGAAAGGGUUUAUUCAUUCAACUUAUGCAAAGUGUUAUCCAUUAUUUCAAACAUAAUUAGUUUAUACAUCAAAUUAUUAUUCCUGCACUUUUCAUCAGAUUGCCUGCAGACAACAUUUUUGGGACUCAGAAGCAAAAUAUCUCCAGAUCCUCUCACAAGUUUACACAGGGGUCAACUUCUCCUCAGCUUACUUCUGAGCAAAGAUUCAUGCAAGGUGCUGAAGUCCUUCAACUCUCUGAGAUCGUUAAGCUUAAAAAGGCCCAAAUUUAUUUGAUCGUUGCCACUACAUCACAUGCCAGAGCAUCUGCAAAUGGGUGGUUCUUUAUUGGGUGCACUGACAUUUGAGUGUAAAGAUGUUCAUAGCACUGCUGAUCCAGCUAUCAGGUCCAUAUUGCCUCAUAUCAUAAUCAUAAUAUUAUAGUUUAAUUACCAUAUUUUAUUCACGAAACCAUAAUCCAAUAUCUGCACUGUUUAACUAAUUAACAUGCAUAGGCUUGAUGUGGAAGCCUACCAUGGUAAACACAUGCAAUUUUGUUUUUUUGGGAUAAUACUCUCAAUGAUUUGUUAUGAAUUACAGCAAAAGAUCUCAAGAAGACUAUGCUGGAGGAUUCACAUUUAUUUUGUUUUUUCACAUUCAUGUUUACUUUCAAGAGUUACAAAUGACAUUUACUACUCACAUCCCAAUUUGUUUGAGGAGCUUAUGAAUAGAAAGUUGGCCUUCUGUGUUAAACGGCAAAAAUAUUGGGAUCAAUGCUCAAUGUUGGGAUCCAAAGAUAAGAAAGCGUUGGGUGAUUCUAUCCAAGGACAUUUCCCUAUGGACCUAAAUGCUGAGGUUCCCAUGUUAUAUUUAUUUGUCUAUCACCGCAGUUCAGUUUAAAUUCUUUAUUAAUGACCAAUCCGUUACUUACGGGGUUUACUUAUGUUGAAAGCAAGUGGAGAUAUACUACUUCAGCCCAUGCUUCAGAUAAUGACCAGGUCUCUAAAUUGAACGACCAUAUCACUGACAUUGUAGAUUCUCUUGCUUAUCCCACUCAGGAUUUGUCUGCUUCAUCUGAGCAUGAGCUGGAUCGUCGAUCAAACACUACUCCUUCUAAGAUGUCUACCACUGAGCAGAUGCCAUAUGACCUCCUCAAAUCACAACUCUCUUCAAUCAGGAUCAUUAAGAAGGAGAACCACAAUUAAUCAAAUUUCAGUCUGUUUCUAUGAAUAGUUUUUUUGUUGAAGAACCACAAUUCUGACAUCUUUUGGUUAUCAUCAGUUGAAACUUGGUAGGUCUACACAAGAGUCGAAAGAUCAAAAGUUGAUAAAAUGAAAAUGCUUAUAGAAUACAUGGACGGAAGAAGAACUACAUGGGUGGAGUUAAUCAUAGCAUUGGUGAUGGUCUGGUGGUGUUUGUCAUUGCAGUAAAAGGAACAUGGAAGAAGAUCCAUGGGAGAAACUUGACAUUUUUCCUAACAACUACUUCAAGCAAAUAGUCCUAGCAUCUCAUACUUGGUGUUUAUGAGAGAAGAUUACUAGCAAAAGAUAAGAAACAUCUCGCGAUAACUUUGUUUCAAGUUUCAAUUUUUGUUUUAAUAUCUCAAAUUAUAACUUAUCUAUGCUUGCUUUGACAUUGUUAUCGCUAAUCUAUAUGUUCUUAUCUUACUUUUUAUCAUCUAUGACAUAUCUCCUGCUUCUCACAAAGCACCAGCCAAAAGGAGUGUUGGAAAGCAUCAACCACUUGAGAAUACCCACCUUGAGUCGCAGUUCUCAAUGAGAACUUCUCAUCACCCAGAUCUGACAAGCUCAUUAAGAAGUAGAAGAUCUAAUCUGAAAAUUUCUUAUUUGCAUUAAGACUUUUCUACUAUAUGCUUUUGCUCUUUAAUUUGUUAUUAACCACUUCCUACUUUGUGAAAUACAUAUGGUGUUCCCGUCAUGGCUUUUGUUUAAGUUCCCACCUUUAGCAAACGUAAUGGUGAUCUAUGCUUUUAUAUGCAAUAUGAAUUAGCAACUUUAUUAAA